AUCUAAUGAAAUGAACCUUUAAUUUAUUUAAGAAAUUUUCGUGUUUUGAUCAUAUUAAAGAUUGUAAAUUGGUUUUAUUUAAAUUAUGUUUAAAUGUGAAAUUUUGGUAGAGCUUACACUAUCUUUAUUGAUUCAACUAGCCUAUAUUUUGUUAUAUGAAAACCACUGUCUCUAGUGUUUAAUCUUGCAAUUUUGAGUGUUUGCCCAAGUGGGAGAAAUAAUGUAUUAUGGGCUUCACACUCAUCAAUUUUGCAUGCUUUUAAUGGUCAUAGUUUUGGUAGAUAAAACAUACAUUAUCAUACUUGUUUAUAUUUUAUAUAUGCAACUAAUCUUGCAGGAAAUUCAAGAAGGGUUAAUGAGUAUAUUUUGCUCAAAAGUGUUUUGCUUAUUAAUUCUUGUUUGUUGUUCAAGAAAUUGGACUUGUGAUUUAUAUGUUAUUGAUGGAUAAUUAAUCUGCUCAAAAGUGUUUUCUUAUUCAAUCCAACUAUAAAUCAAUGAACGGUUAAACAUGGAAUU
rnacentral:lncRNA from 1 species